GAUGAACGCUAGCGGCAGGCCUAACACAUGCAAGUCGAGGGGUAGAACACUUCGGUGUUUGAGACCGGCGCACGGGUGCGUAACGCGUAUGCAAUCUACCUUAUACAGGUGAAUAGCCCAGAGAAAUUUGGAUUAAUGCCCCAUAGUAUUAUUGAAUGGCAUCAUUUAAUAAUUAAAGUUCCAACGGUAUAAGAUGAGCAUGCGUCCCAUUAGUUAGUUGGUAAGGUAACGGCUUACCAAGACGAUGAUGGGUAGGGGUCCUGAGAGGGAGGUCCCCCACACUGGUACUGAGACACGGACCAGACUCCUGCGGGAGGCAGCAGUGAGGAAUAUUGGUAAAUGGUCGCAAGACUGAACCAGCCAUGCCGCGUGCAGGAAGACGAUCCUAUGGAUUGUAAACUGCUUUUAUACAGGAAGAAACCCUCCCACGUGUGGGAGCUUGACGGUACUGUAGGAAUAAGGAUCGGCUAACUCCGUGCCAGCAGCCGCAGUAACAC
rnacentral:rRNA from 1 species